UACGGAGGGGGCUAGCGUUGUUCGGAAUUACUGGGCGUAAAGCGUGCGCAGGCGGUUUUGUAAGUCUGAUGUGAAAUCCCCGGGCUCAACCUGGGAAUUGCAUUGGAGACUGCAAGGCUAGAAUCUGGCAGAGGGGGGUAGAAUUCCACGUGUGAGCAGUGAAAUGCGUAGAGAUGUGGAGGAACACCGAUGGCGAAGGCAGCCCCCUGGGUCAAGAUUGACGCUCAUGCACGAAAGCGUGGGGAGCAAACGA
rnacentral:rRNA from 1 species